GUGAUAAAAAGAAGGCAUUAAAAGAUCGGUAUCGGCAGAUACUGCUUUCUGUGAUCGGCCACAAAAAUCCUGAUCUGAGCACCC